rnacentral:rRNA from 1 species
AUGGCGGCCGGCGACACGGGCGCGCCCGCGGCGGGCGGAGCGGGGCAGGAAGACUCGCCCGAGCCGCCGCGGGGCGAGCGAACCACCCCCGAUCACCACGCUCCGGCGUCGCCGGGCGCUUCCGAAGAGGAAGAGGGCGCCAGCGGAGCAGUCGAGGCGGGGCAGGACGACGCGCCCGAGCUGGAGGACGAGCAGGGGGAGGGCGGCGACGCCACGGAGGACGACGUGGAUGAGGAGGAGGAGGAGGAGGAGGAAUGGGACGGGGAGGAGGAGGAGGGAGACGACGAGGAGGAGGACGCCCCGACGCACCUGCCGUUCGCGCCCGCGGAGGAAGAGUCACUUGAUGACACAAACGCAACUACAGUUGAUCCAAGCUAUACUAUCUCUCUUAUAAGGCAACUAAUACCUAAGGGAUCCAGUGUGGAGAAAGAGUUCAGGGAUUCAACGCAACCGGAUAACACGGAUCCUUCUGAGAAAAGUGACAAGCAGGGUCUUCCAGAAGAAAGAAGUGUCAGUCCUAAGGAUCAGUUGGAAGAGUGUGGUUGUAUUCUGUGGGAUCUUGCGGCUAGUACACCUCAAGCAGAACUUAUGAUUAAUAAUCUUGUGAUUGAAGUGCUUUUGGAAAACCUUCAUACGGCAAAUUCUUCUAGGGUGAAGGAAAUUUGUCUUGGAAUCAUGGGAAACUUAGUCUGUCAUGAAUCUCUAGUUGCUGCAAUCUCUUUGAAAAAAGGUUUAAUUGCAACUGUUGUGGAGCAAUUGUUUAUAGAUGAUGUCCAAUGCCUUUCUGAAACAUUCAGGUUGUUGGCUGCCAUUCUUCGGUCCAGUGCAUUUGUUUCUUGGGCUCAAGCUCUUUUACCUGAUGAGGUUCUUUCACGUAUUCUAUGGAUAGUUGGGAAGACAGAUAAUUCUACAUUACUUGAAAAGAUCAUUGACUUCCUAUCAACUGUCAUUGAUAAUCGAGAUGUGAUUGCUAUGCUUAUCCAGCCCUUGCUUAAACUGGGUCUAGUUAACCGUGUUAUUGGGUUACUAACAACUGAGCUUGAAAGAUCAGCGGAUGAGAAGCUAGACAGAUCGGAUUCUCUUGAAUUGAUCCUUCACUUCAUGGAAGAAUUAUCAGCCAUACACUGUGUUUCAAAGGCAAUGACAUCGAAUGACUGGCUGAUUAAAGUGUUAGUUAACAUGAUCAAAUCGCCUGAUAAAGUUGAGGUUGCAAGCUAUUGUGCUUCGGUGGUGAUCGUAAUAUCAAAUAUUUUGACAGAUGGAAAGCAUUUGGUGCCUAAGAUAUCCCGUGAUUUAGCGUUCCUGGAAGGCCUACUUGAAGUUCUUCCAGAGGUCCCUGAUGAUGACCAAGCUCGAUAUGCACUUUGGAGUAUCUUAGCACGUAUUCUGGCACAAGUGCAAGGAACUGAGUUAAACUCCUCGUCCCUCGACCAGUUUGCGUCUCUGUUCUCAGGCAAGUUCGGCCUCAUCAAAGAUGACCUCGAGAGUCAGGUGGUUGAUGAAGAGAAGUUAACACCUGAGGAUGCUCUCCUGAAGGGAUGGACAUCGAGAUGUCUCGUGGCAAUCUCCUUCUUCAUGGAGAGAUGGAUCGAGGAGAAGUCCUCGACUGGAGACUCCAUCGACAAUGCUCGGGAGGUGCUGAGCUACUGCCAGAAGGCGCUCAGCUAA